rnacentral:rRNA from 1 species
UUCAAGUUUCUAAGAGCAGACGGUGGAUGCCUUGGCAUCUGGAGCCGAAGAAGGACGUAGUAAUCUGCGAUAAGCCUCGGGGAGCUGAUAAACGAGCUGUGAUCCGAGGGUCUCCGAAUGGGGAAACCCCGCCGGGCCCUUUG